UUCGUACGCUGAACACUCUGCUUGCAGAGUGUGGAUGAGUGGCGAACGGGGUGUAACACGUGGGGAACCUGCCCAUAAGAGGGGGAUAACAUCCGGAAACGGGUGCUAAUACCGCAUAGGUGAUCAUAGCGCAUGCUUAGAUCAUUAAAGAUGGCUUCGGCUAUCGCUUAUGGAUGGCCCCGCGGCGUAUUAGCUAGUUGGUGAGGUAAUGGCUCACCAAGGCUGUGAUACGUAGCCGACCUGAGAGGGUGAUCGGCCACACUGGAACUGAGACACGGUCCAGACUCCUACGGGAGGCAGCAGUAGGGAAUCUUCCACAAUGGGCGAAAGCCUGAUGGAGCAAUACCGCGUGAGUGAAGAAGGUCUUCGGAUCGUAAAGCUCUGUUGUUAGAGAAGAACAAGAGGUGUAGUAACUGGCACCUCCUUGACGGUAUCUAACCAGAAAGUCACGGCUAACUACGUGCCAGCAGCCGCGGUAAUACGUAGGUGACAAGCGUUGUCCGGAUUUAUUGGGCGUAAAGCGAGCGCAGGCGGUCUUUUAAGUCUGAUGUGAAAGCCCACGGCUCAACCGUGGAGGGUCAUUGGAAACUGGAAGACUUGAAUGCAGAAGAGGAAAGUGGAAUUCCAUGUGUAGCGGUGAAAUGCGUAGAUAUAUGGAGGAACACCAGUGGCGAAGGCGACUUUCUGGUCUGUAAUUGACGCUGAGGCUCGAAAGCGUGGGGAGCGAACAGGAUUAGAUACCCUGGUAGUCCACGCCGUAAACGAUGAGUGCUAAGUGUUGGAGGGUUUCCGCCCUUCAGUGCUGGAGCUAACGCAUUAAGCACUCC
rnacentral:rRNA from 1 species